rnacentral:lncRNA from 1 species
GACAAAAAAAAAUUUUCAUUUCUCUUCUUCUCCUCGUUUUGUUCGAUGAAAUCACCGAGUUGCAUCGAUCUGAUCCUGCUGGUGCCACCUUCGUGAUUAUUCUUGCUGCCGGCACUGAAUUUCUGUCGUUUCCGUUUUCUUCCCAACAUCACCGUCUCGCCUAACUUGCUCGAGUGACUCGCUUCCAAUCCUUCCUUCGCCGCCUCCGCCUUAUAAACCGAAUUGGGGUCUGGAUUAUUAUCAUCUGAAACAUCACGAGUUGGACUCGGUUUGUCUCCGCCAACUCUUUUAGGAUCUGGAUUUUUUUUUAAGAACCACAUUAGGAUUUUUCCAUUGGAAACAGCAUUAUCUUAGUUUUUUAAUUAAAGUUCUUAAGAUCCAGUUAAUAAUAUUUUAUUGCUUAAGUACUCCAUUAGGAGUGCUUGCAUUGCUGAUCCUUUUAGGUCUUAGGCUCUCACCCUCGAUUUUCCAUCCCAUCCUAUCUUCUUUUCCUUGCAUUGGAAGCUGUGCCAAACCUGACAUAUAUUGGGCUUUUUUUUUAUCGGCAAACUAUAUUAUUAACAACUGUGAAUACAAAGUUUACAUUACAUACCAAGAUAUUUUAUAGCUUUGAACUUGCUCUCUAGCUAUCUUAGCAAGCCUAUCAACUUCCCAUACAACAUUACGAUUAACAUACAUAAAUGAACAUCUCAUACCCCUACAUGAUAUCUUAACAAUGUCUUUGACUUCUAUUGAUAUAUCUGGGUGACACCAAUAUUGUCUCUUUCUCGAGUUGUGCAUUGCAUUAACGCUCCUAAAAAGAACAUUGUUGUCCCCAACAAACAAGACUUCUUCAUAAGCUAGUAUUCUCAUUUCUUGAAUUGCCCUUAAUAAUGCUCUUGCUUCAGCUGCUAAUGGAGAUACUACGUACUGGUUCAAUUGAUGAGCUGCCUUGCAUAAUUUUUUCUCCAUUGAUACGGUAUAAGGACCAAGCAAUACCUGCAUUCACAGCAGAUGAUGUCC